rfam:Thermoplasmatales archaeon DG-70-1 WOR1_52_54_1182, whole genome shotgun sequence.
UACGGCGGUCACAGCGGAAGGGUCAUACCCGUUCUCAUUCCGAACACGGAAGUUAAGCCUUCCAGCGAUUCGGGUUGUACUGCCAUAGGUGGGAACCCCGGGACGCUGCCGGCC